rnacentral:rRNA from 1 species
CGUGUAGGCGGUUUGUUUAGUCUGAUGUGAAAGCCCUGGGCUCAACCCAGGAAGUGCAUUGGAAACUGGCAGACUUGAAUACGGGAGAGGGUAGUGGAAUUCCUAGUGUAGGAGUGAAAUCCGUAGAUAUUAGGAGGAACACCGGUGGCGAAGGCGGCUGCCUGGACCGAUAUUGACGCUGAGACGCGAAAGCGUGGGUAGCAAACA